rnacentral:rRNA from 1 species
GAUGAACGCUAGCGGCAGGCCUAAUACAUGCAAGUCGAACGGGAUCCAGAUCAAAGCUUGCUUUGGUCUGGUGAGAGUGGCGCACGGGUGCGUAACGCGUGAGCAACCUACCCUUGUCAGGGGGAUAGCCCGGCGAAAGUCGGAUUAAUACCGCAUGACAUCAUUGAGAGGCAUCUUUCGAUGAUCAAAGAUUUAUCGGACAAGGAUGGGCUCGCGUGACAUUAGCUAGUUGGUAAGGUAACGGCUUACCAAGGCUGCGAUGUCUAGGGGCUCUGAGAGGAGAAUCCCCCACACUGGUACUGAGACACGGACCAGACUCCUACGGGAGGCAGCAGUAAGGAAUAUUGGUCAAUGGACGGAAGUCUGAACCAGCCAUGCCGCGUGCAGGAAGACGGCCCUAUGGGUUGUAAACUGCUUUUAUACGGGAACAAACGUCGGUACGUGUACCGGUCUGAGUGUACCGGAAGAAUAAGGAUCGGCUAACUCCGUG